UGAGGAAUAUUGCACAAUGGGCGAAAGCCUGAUGCAGCGACGCCGCGUGAAGGAUGAAGGUCUUCGGAUUGUAAACUUCUGUUAAAUGGGAAAAAAGAGUCUUCCUGAAUAGGGAAGAAAGAUGAUGGUACCAUUAGAGAAAGCACCGGCUAACUUCGUGCCAGCAGCCGCGGUAAUACGAGGGGUGCAAGCGUUAUUCGGAUUUAUUGGGCGUAAAGGGUUUGUAGGCGGUCUGUUAAGUCAUUUAUUAAAUGCCCUAGCUUAACUAGGGAGAUGUGAGUGAAACUGGGAGACUAGAGGAUGGAAGAGAGAAGUGGAAUUCUCGGAGUAGCGGUAAAAUGCGUAGAUCUCGAGAGGAACACCGAUGGCGAAGGCAGCUUCUUGGUCCAUAUCUGACGCUGAAAAACGAAAGCGUGGGGAGCAAACAGG
rnacentral:rRNA from 1 species